rnacentral:rRNA from 1 species
GAGCCUACCAUGCAUCGAGCGGUAGAGAGAAGCUUGCUUCUCUUGAGAGCGGCGGACGGGUGAGUAAUGCCUAGGAAUCUGCCUGGUAGUGGGGGAUAACGUUCGGAAACGGACGCUAAUACCGCAUACGUCCUACGGGAGAAAGCAGGGGACCUUCGGGCCUUGCGCUAUCAGAUGAGCCUAGGUCGGAUUAGCUAGUUGGUGAGGUAAUGGCUCACCAAGGCAACGAUCCGUAACUGGUCUGAGAGGAUGAUCAGUCACACUGGAACUGAGACACGGUCCAGACUCCUACGGGAGGCAGCAGUGGGGAAUAUUGGACAAUGGGCGAAAGCCUGAUCCAGCCAUGCCGCGUGUGUGAAGAAGGUCUUCGGAUUGUAAAGCACUUUAAGUUGGGAGGAAGGGCAGUUACCUAAUACGUGAUUGUUUUGACGUUACCGACAGAAUAAGCACCGGCUAACUCUGUGCCAGCAGCCGCGGUAAUACAGAGGGUGCAAGCGUUAAUCGGAAUUACUGGGCGUAAAGCGCGCGUAGGUGGUUAGUUAAGUUGGAUGUGAAAUCCCCGGGCUCAACCUGGGAACUGCAUUCAAAACUGACUGACUAGAGUAUGGUAGAGGGUGGUGGAAUUUCCUGUGUAGCGGUGAAAUGCGUAGAUAUAGGAAGGAACACCAGUGGCGAAGGCGACCACCUGGACUGAUACUGACACUGAGGGGCGAAAGCGUGGGGAGCAAACAGGAUUAGAUACCCCUGGUAGUCCACGCCGUAAACGAUGUCAAACUAGCCGUUGGGAGCCUUGAAGCUCUUAAGUGGCGCAGCUAACCGCAUUAAGUUGACCGCCCUGGGGGAGUACGGGCCGCAAGGUUAAAACUCCAAAUGAAUUGGACGGGGGCCCGCCACAACCGGG